rnacentral:rRNA from 1 species
AGAGCGAACGCUGGCGGCAGGCCUAACACAUGCAAGUCGAGCGCCCGUAGCAAUACGGGAGCGGCAGACGGGAGAGUAACACGUGGGAACGUACCCUUCAGUUCGGAAUAACCCAGGGAAACUUGGACUAAUACCGAAUACGUCCGUAAGGGGAAAGAUUUAUCGCCGAAAGAUUGGCCCGCGUCUGAUUAGCUAGUUGGUGGGGUAACGGCCCACCAAGGCGACGAUCAGUAGCUGGUCUGAGAGGAUGAUCAGCCACAUUGGGACUGAGACACGGCCCAAACUCCUACGGGAGGCAGCAGUGGGGAAUAUUGGACAAUGGGCGCAAGCCUGAUCCAGCCAUGCCGCGUGAGUGAUGAAGGCCCUAGGGUUGUAAAGCUCUUUUGUGCGGGAAGAUAAUGACGGUACCGCAAGAAUAAGCCCGGCUAACUUCGUGCCAGCAGCCGC